UGAACCCCACAUUAACUUACAGGUGAACCCCACAGUAACAUACAGGAGAACCCCACAUUAACUUACAGGAGAACCCCACAUUAACUUACAGGUGAACCCCACAGUAACAUACAGGAGAACCCCACAGUAACAUACAGGAGAACCGCACAUAAACCUACAGGGGAACCCCACAUUAACAUGCAGGAGAACCCCACAGUAACAUACAGGAGAACUGCACAUAAACCUACAGGGGAACCCCACAUUAACAUGCAGGAGAACCCCACAGUAACAUACAGGAGAACCGCACAUAAACCUACAGGGGAACCCCACAUUAACAUGCAGGAGAACCCCAUAUUAACCUACAGGAGAACCCCACGUUAAUGCAAGCCAUGCGGGAUUUCUGCAACACACAUUUUCAAAGGAUUUAUGUCAGUCGAACUCGUCCCUGGUCCACACUUUUUCUUCGUCAUUCACUGCCUAAUUGACCAAUUAAAAUAGUUGGUUACAUAGUUCAUUGACCUUGCCUGGUCUCUUGGGUCUGAAUUUUUUUUAUUUUUUAAUUGGAGUAUUUUUAAGAGAAAAUCGGAAAAUUAAACUCUGCGGACUCUGGCUAUCCACGACCAGGGCUGAAAAUCA